CUCGUUGUGCGACCAACGAUAGCCUAGGAAGACAUGCGUCACUGGUAACGGUGGGGUGUGAAGCUCUUCCAACAAUGUAGCCCCUUAGGGCAUGUUCUUGCCGCGAGGCAAAACAUGGAUGCUCGGAGCAGCACCGGGUUGAGGCG
rnacentral:ncRNA from 1 species